AUGCAAGUCGAACGGCAGCACAGAGGAGCUUGCUCCUUGGGUGGCGAGUGGCGGACGGGUGAGGAAUACAUCGGAAUCUACUCUGUCGUGGGGGAUAACGUAGGGAAACUUACGCUAAUACCGCAUACGACCUACGGGUGAAAGCAGGGGAUCUUCGGACCUUGCGCGAUUGAAUGAGCCGAUGUCGGAUUAGCUAGUUGGCGGGGUAAAGGCCCACCAAGGCGACGAUCCGUAGCUGGUCUGAGAGGAUGAUCAGCCACACUGGAACUGAGACACGGUCCAGACUCCUACGGGAGGCAGCAGUGGGGAAUAUUGGACAAUGGGCGCAAGCCUGAUCCAGCCAUACCGCGUGGGUGAAGAAGGCCUUCGGGUUGUAAAGCCCUUUUGUUGGGAAAGAAAUCCAGCCGGCUAAUACCUGGUUGGGAUGACGGUACCCAAAGAAUAAGCACCGGCUAACUUCGUGCCAGCAGCCGCGGCAAUACUAAGGGUGCAAGCGUUACUCGGAAUUACUG
rnacentral:rRNA from 1 species